UGACUGGUUCUAAUUAGUAUUCGUUCCAGUGACACAAAAGAUACUAAUUAGAACCGGUUUUGUCACUUGAGACGCGUGCUAACUGGAGCCAGAAGUACUUGCGGCUUAUUUUCCUGUUGGUAGCGGGUGCUACUAUUUUCACCUGCAGUGGUGGUUUAGUAAAAUCGUAGCCAGACACAAAAAUGCAUCUUUGUAAAAUCCCAAUCUUGUUCUCUACCAGUUACUUGCCCCAAAAUAUCCGUUUUAACACUAAUGGUGAUUCAACCAUCCCAACCAAAAUAGCUACUAUUUCAGCGUCAAUCACGAAUAUUUCCCAGCAGCUGUAGCCUUUCCAUCAUCCGAUCAGUCGGUAACAAAAACGUUCUAACGACGGUUCUGCCACAGGGUUUGACGUUAAUUUAACAACCGCACCUAGACGACAAUUGGCUAACAGCAGCAGCUACAUCAGCAAUAACAAACUAGAAUUAUCGUCCAGAUUCCGCAGCAGUAGAUACAGCAACAUCACCUUUAGGUAUAACAGUAACAGUACACAAUACAGUUUUAAGAAGCGGGAGCAUCGCAAGCAAAAGGAACCACUGUUCAGUUUGUGCAAUCGAAUUGGCCACAAAUCGCUCGACAGCAGCAACAGAAUAUAACACAACAACCGCAAACACAACAGCAAGGUGCUCGGAAGGAACUUUUUCUUUCGAACAAACAUGUGAUGGGAGCGCAAACAGGCCAAUCGUGUGUUAUCCUCUGUUUUCUGUCCCCCAAAAUCCGCGGCCUAAUCUGUCACCAUUAAGCUGAGCGAGAGCCAAUAUUAUUCGAAAUGUGGAUACUAGGUCAUUAGUAGAUAAGCGACCCAUCCAGUAUGAUUACCUCUUGCUGUACAAACGAAGAAGUCACGUCACGUUUAUACUUAUCGACCAUAAUCAACUGUGCAGCAUACUUAUUCCCGUUCGAAGACUUUGGCCAUAUGGAAAACGUGCUCCACCCGCAGCAGAUAUAUUACAAGACGUUACACCAUGGCAGAGGAGUGGGAAGUAUUCAACUGCAGCAGGAGAAAAUCCGCUAACCGAAACUAGUCCUGUCAGCAACUAAUUAGUUAUAAUGGCUCUGUAAAAAAAACUAAUUGCGCUCAACAGACAAAUGCAGGUGUCAAAACAUUCGAUCAGCACAUUGGAAGCUUGGUUCAUCAUCAACAUCAUCAAGCAACAUCAUCCCGGGUGGCAGAAACGCUGUCACAUGAUGAUUAGUACCUAGGACAUCAGUACUGUACGAUGCAGCUCUCCAAUCGAAAUGCUGGUACACAAUAUUGGAUCAAACAAAUCAGUUAUGAUAAUAAAGAAUCCAUCAUUGUUUAGCAGUCAGUUAGUUAAGCGAUUAGUGUUUAAGGGACCAUCCAUAAAUGACGUAGCAUUA